AUAUGCCCCCAUUGUCUGAUAGGUGAGGGUCCCACCUCAGGGACCCGCACCUACAAGGAGAACGGAGCCAGGGAGAGUUGUGGCUGGAGUAACCCAGGGUUUCCUGGGGUCCAUCCACCAUUAGGCGCAGCUCCCCGCCUCUUCCACUGAAGUGAACGGGAGCGCACCGCACACAUGCGCAGCCACCGCUCCCAUUCAUUUCUAUGGGGCCGACGGAAAUAGCCGAGCCAGCGCUCGGCUAUUUUCGGCGGCUCCAUAGAAAUGAAUGAAGGGUGGCUGCGCAUGCGCAGUGCACCCUCCUCCACUUUCUCUGCUCCGUUAUCCUUCUCCACCACUGGGAC